rnacentral:rRNA from 1 species
AACGAACGCUGGCGGCGCGCUUAAUACAUGCAAGUCGAACGAGAAGGUGUAGCAAUACACUUGUAAAGUGGCGAACGGGUGAGGAAUACAUGGGUAACCUACCCUCGAGUGGGGAACAACCAGCCGAAAGGUUGGCUAAUACCGCGUACGCUUCCGGGUCUUCGGAUUCGGAAGGAAAGUCAUACCGUGGGUAUGACGCUCAAGGAUGGGCUCAUGUCCUAUCAGCUUGUUGGUAGGAACGGCCUACCAAGGCUUCGACGGGUAGCUGGUCUGAGAGGACGAUCAGCCACACUGGCACUGCGACACGGGCCAGACUCCUACGGGAGGCAGCAGUAAGGAAUAUUGCGCAAUGGGCGAAAGCCUGACGCAGCGACGCCGCGUGGGGGAUGAAGGUCUUCGGAUUGUAAACCCCUUUCGGGAGGGAAAUGGAACGAGCAAUCGUUCGGAUGGUACCUCCAGAAGCAGCCACGGCUAACUUCGUGCCAGCAG